AGGUGCGAUCAUACCAGCGCUAAUGCACCGGAUCCCAUCAGAACUCCGCAGUUAAGCGUGCUUGGGCGAGAGUAGUACUGGGAUGGGUGACCUCCUGGGAAGUCCUUGUGUUGCACCUC
rnacentral:rRNA from 1 species